UUUUUUCUUCUUUUAUCUUCUUCUUCUUCUUCUCUUUUUUCUUUCUAUCUCUUCUGCAAUUUCUUCGUUACUUCUCUCCAUCGUCAAUUUCAUCUUCUUCAUCAACAACAUCAUCAUCACAAUUAUCUUCUUCUUCCUCCUGUCAAUUUUGUUUCUUCUUCUUCAUCAACAUCAAAAUUUAGUUUCAUCUUCUAUCUUGUAUAAUUAAAAGCCAAGCACCCCUUUGACUUGGAAUCAAAAAAAUCGAAAUCAAUACAGGUGCUGUUCUUAAUAUUUUUUGGGUUUUUCAGAACAAAAAAAUAGGGGAAACAAACUUGGAAUAAUGGAGAGAUCCAAACGAAGUGACGAACCGGACUAGUGGUGUCUGUCGUGACAAGCUGAAGAGAGAGAGGUGGUUGUUGGUAACGAUGCCGUUGACAAGAGAGAGUGCUGAUGAUGCCCAUGAAAUUGAGGGGAGGGAGAAGAUACGGGAGUUUCUGGUGCUGGAGAGAUGAGUCCUCUUUUAUUUUUUUCAAUAAAGUAACGUGGGGGGUGGGGCCAAGAGAACACGCACAAAACGGUAGCACAAGCUGCCGUUUCUCUCAAGGUUCUCUUAGUCUUCCCGACGUUUAGCACUACUCAGUUAGUU
rnacentral:lncRNA from 1 species